GUGAACGCUGGCGGUAGGCCUAACACCUGCAAGUCGAACGGCAGCACCGUAAGAGCUUGCUCUUACGGGUGGCGAGUGGCGGACGGGUGAGGAAUACAUCGGAAUCUACUUUUUCGUGGGGGAUAACGUAGGGAAACUUACGCUAAUACCGCAUACGACCUACGGGUGAAAGCAGGGGAUCUUCGGACCUUGCGCGAUUGAAUGAGCCGAUGUCGGAUUAGCUAGUUGGCGGGGUAAAGGCCCACCAAGGCGACGGUCCGUAGCUGGUCUGAGAGGAUGAUCAGCCACACUGGAACUGAGACACGGUCCAGACUCCUACGGGAGGCAGCAGUGGGGAAUAUUGGACAAUGGGCGCAAGCCUGAUCCAGCCAUACCGCGUGGGUGAAGAAGGCCUUCGGGUUGUAAAGCCCUUUUGUUGGGAAAGAAAAGCAGCAGGUUAAUACCCCGCUGUUCUGACGGUACCCAAAGAAUAAGCACCGGCUAACUUCGUG
rnacentral:rRNA from 1 species